UACGUAGGGCGCAAGCGUUGUCCGGAAUUAUUGGGCGUAAAGAGCUCGUAGGCGGCCUGUUGCGUCCGCUGUGAAAUCCCGGGGCUCAACCCCGGGCCUGCAGUGGAUACGGGCUGGCUGGAGGCAGGCAGGGGAGAACGGAAUUCCUGGUGUAGCGGUGAAAUGCGCAGAUAUCAGGAGGAACACCGGUGGCGAAGGCGGCCUGCUGGGACAGUGCUGACGCUGAGGCGCGACAGCGUGGGGAGCAAACAGG
rnacentral:rRNA from 1 species